AUUGAACGCUGGCGGAAUGCUUUACACAUGCAAGUCGAACGGCAGCACGGGGGCAACCCUGGUGGCGAGUGGCGAACGGGUGAGUAAUACAUCGGAACGUGCCCGGUCGUGGGGGAUAACGUAGCGAAAGUUACGCUAAUACCGCAUACGAUCUGAGGAUGAAAGCGGGGGACCUUCGGGCCUCGCGCGAUCGGAGCGGCCGAUGUCAGAUUAGGUAGUUGGUGGGGUAAAGGCCUACCAAGCCGACGAUCUGUAGCUGGUCUGAGAGGACGACCAGCCACACUGGGACUGAGACACGGCCCACUCCUACGGGAGGCAGCAGUGGGGAAUUUUGGACAAUGGGCGCAAGCCUGAUCCAGCCAUUCCGCGUGCAAGACGAAGGCCUUCGGGUUGUAAACUGCUUUUGUAUGGAACGAAAAGGCUCUGGCUAAUACCUGGGGCUCAUGACGGUACCGUAAGAAUAAGCACCGGCUAACUACGUG
rnacentral:rRNA from 1 species